rnacentral:rRNA from 1 species
CAGUCGUACGAGAGUUUUUAACUCUAGUGGCGGACGGGUGAGUAACACGCCCCUUCUUGCCUUUAGGAGGGGGAUAACAAUUGGAAACGAAUGCUAUUACCCCAUAUGCUUUCGAGUGAAAUGGAUUUAUAUUAUUCGCCUAAAGAGAAGCUCGCGGCUGAUUAGCUUGUUGGUAAGGUAAGAGCUUACCAAGGCGACGAUCAGUAUCUGGUUUGAGAGGACGAUCAGACACACUGGAACUGAGACACGGUCCAGACUCCUACGGGAGGCAGCAGUGGGGAAUUUUCCGCAAUGGGCGAAAGCCUGACGGAGCAAUACCGCGUGAGGGAAGACUGCCUAUGGGUUGUAAACCUCUUUUUUCAGGGAGGAAUAAAAUGACGUGUACCUGAAGAAUAAGCAUCGGCUAACUCCGUGCCAGCAGCCGCGGUAAGACGGAGGAUGCAAGUGUUAUCCGGAAUCACUGGGCGUAAAGCGUCUGUAGGUGGUUUAAUAAGUCAACUGUUAAAUCUUGAGGCUCAACUUCAAAAUCGCAGUCGAAACUAUUAGACUAGAGUAUAGUAGAGGUAAAGGGAAUUUCCAGUGGAGCGGUGAAAUGCGUAGAUAUUGGAAAGAACACCGAUGGCGAAAGCACUUUACUGGGCUAUUACUAACACUCAGAGACGAAAGCUAGGGUAGCAAAUGGGAUUAGAUACCCCAGUAGUCCUAGCCGUAAACUAUGGAUACUAGCCGUUGGGGGGAUUUACCCUUUAGUGGCGAAGCUAACGCGUUAAGUUAUCCGCCUGGGGAGUACGGCCGCAAGGUUAAAACUCAAAGGAUUUGACGGGGGACCCGCACAAG